UUGGAGUGGAUUGAGAGGGAA
rnacentral:miRNA from 1 species